rnacentral:rRNA from 1 species
CUACGUGCCAGCAGCCGCGGUAAUACGUAGGUCCCGAGCGUUGUCCGGAUUUAUUGGGCGUAAAGCGAGCGCAGGCGGUUAGAUAAGUCUGAAGUUAAAGGCUGUGGCUUAACCAUAGUACGCUUUGGAAACUGUUUAACUUGAGUGCAGAAGGGGAGAGUGGAAUUCCUGGUGUAGCGGUGGAAUGCGCAGAUAUCAGGAGGAACACCGAUGGCGAAGGCAGGUCUCUGGGCUGUAACUGACGCUGAGAAGCGAAAGCAUGGGGAGCGAACAGGAUUAGAUACCCUGGUAGUCCAUGCCGUAAACGUUGGGCACUAGGUGUGGGGGACAUUCCACGUUUUCCGCGCCGUAGCUAACGCAUUAAGUGCCCCGCCUGGGGAGUACGGCCGCAAGGCUAAAACUCAAAGGAAUUGACGGGGGCCCGCACAAGCGGAGGAACAUGUGGUUUAAUUCGAUGAUACGCGAGGAACCUUACCCGGGCUUGAA